CAGCCUGCACACGUCGACAGCAAGAAGGCAGAGGCUCACAAAAUGGGGGGAGAACCUGCACCAGCACCACUGACAGAUGAAGAGGAGAUAGUCAAGUAGAAGAAUUUUAAAAUCCAAAAGGAAAAAGAAUAACUGUUGCUUUUGUAUUUGUAGAAAAUAA